rnacentral:rRNA from 1 species
CAGUCGCCGCGGGAAUACGGAGGGUGCAAGCGUUAAUCGGAAUUACUGGGCGUAAAGCGUGCGUAGGCGGUUCGUUAAGUCUGUUGUGAAAGCCCCGGGCUCAACCUGGGAAUGGCAAUGGAUACUGGCGAGCUAGAGUGAGUCAGAGGAUGGUGGAAUUCCCGGUGUAGCGGUGAAAUGCGUAGAGAUCGGGAGGAACAUCAGUGGCGAAGGCGGCCAUCUGGGACAACACUGACGCUGAAGCACGAAAGCGUGGGGAGCAAACAGGAUUAGAUACCCCCGUAGUCCCUGUCUCUUAUAC